CCUACGGGUGGCAGCAGUGGGGAAUAUUGGGCAAUGGGCGCAAGCCUGACCCAGCCACGCCGCGUGAAGGAAGAAGGCUUUCGGGUUGUAAACUUCUUUUAUCAGGGACGAAGCAAGUAACGGUACCUGAGGAAUAAGCCACGGCUAAAUACGUGCCAGCAGCCGCGGUAAUACGUAGGUGGCAAGCGUUAUCCGGAUUUACUGGGGGGAAAGGGCGUGUCGGCGGGGGGGCAAGUCAGCUGUGAAACCUAUGGGCUCAACCCAUAGCCUGCAUUUGAACCUGUACUUCGUGAGUGCUGGAGAGGCAAUCGGAAUUCCGGGUGUAGCGGUGAAAUGCGGAGAUAUACGGAGGAACACCAGUGGCGAAGGCGGAUUGCUGGACAGUAACUGACGCUGAGGCGCGAAAGCGUGGGGAGCAAACAGGAUUAGAUACCCGGGUAGUC
rnacentral:rRNA from 1 species